rnacentral:lncRNA from 1 species
GGAACGAUAAAUUACUAGCAUAUAAAACUUGGUUCUUUAAAUAACAAAACUUUGCAAUGUCUUACACUUCUAACAAUAGUCUAAGAUAAAACAUCAAUUUAAAUAAAUCCUAAUCUAAGAUAACUUGUGCCAAGUUCUUCUAGUCGCUCUCCCAUUUUUGAAACCCCGAUAGGUUAGUUCUCGAAAUCUGUAAAACAACAAGAAAUUGUAUAAUGAGCUAGACAACCCAGUAAGUAAUAAACACCUUAACUAGUCAAUUCAUAUAAUAACAUAAAAUAUAAAUACAAAUUACGAUGAAUCAAUAUAAUAACAUAAUCAAUUCAUUUUUCAAACACAAAUUCAUUAAAAUCUGUAUCUUUCAAAUAUCUAUAUACAUAAUCAUAAAUUUGAUUCGAAAUAAAUCACAUUCAACUCAACAGCCUUUAACUACGACCACACUUAUACCCUGUGCUAGGCCAGAAACAGAACUGCACUUAUACCCUGCGGAGUGGGCCAUAAUACCGUACUUAUACCCUGCGGAGUGGGCCAGAGUACCGCACUUAUACCCUGUGGUGGGGUCAGAAUUGCCAAUGCAUAACCCCCAAUUGGCAGGGUCCAGAACAUAGUCAGGCUGAGAGUUCUAAAUCUAAUGCACAUCAAAAUUCUUUUGUUAACAUAAUAGAUAUAUCAUAAUCCGAUCUAAUAUGCAUAUAUGAUGCAAGAACAGUAAAUAUAUUCAAAAAAUAUUGUUCUAAUUCAUCUAUCUAUCUUUCAUUCAAAUCAUCAUCUCGUAAAAUUCAUAAUUCACAUAUAAAUUUAUUAACAAUUUAUUCAAUACAAAAAUAAUAUUAUAUAAAUGAAGAGUCAAGAAAAGGCAGUUCAUUACUUACAUUGAACGCGAUCCACAACAAAUCCAAUUAAUCUCAUAAAUUCCUCGCAGAACCUAAUAUCCAAAAAUUAUAUAUUUUUUUUAAUUCAUCAUAAUAUAUAUAAAACUUAAAUUUUAAUAUUCUCCCAGGGCCGACCUUGCCGAAGUGUCUAGCACCCCGAGUUCGGGUUCGGGUUCGGAUUCGGAUUCAUACCCGUAAACCACCCUCUCCCUUUAUUUAUUUAUUUAUUUAUUUUUCUUUCUUUAUUUCUUUUCUUUU